GAGAGUGUCGUGCGGUUAUUGUGCAAGGACGUUUUUCAUUUAGGUGAAUUUGGAUAUGCAGUGAGUCUCCUCGCCGGGAUAUUGGAGAAAAAGAACUGAAAGGCUGUCAGUGAUCGAUCGUGCUCUAGGGAAAGGUGUAUUUCGAAGUUUGUCGUCUUAAAACCCUAGCUUUGAAGAUAAUGAUUGCAAAACAAUAAGCUGGCCACACCCUGAAAGGCUGCCCGAAUCUAUUCAGUGAAUUGAAGGAAGAUGGAAAGCCGCAUGAGCAAUACAUUUCGGAAGCUGUGACAUAUGAUGAAAAGGAACUGUUUAAGGGCAUCGUCUGUGGUGAACGCUUUAACAGUUUUGAUAAAUUCGUCCUUCAGGUUAUAGGAAAAGAAGUACAUCAAUACAUAACACCAUUCGAAGAAGCCUGCCUGCACCAUCUACUACUUCAAAACAUUAAAAAUUCUGGCUACAUAAAACCAACACCUGUUCAGAAAGCUUCAGUUGCAGUAAUUUUGAAACCUGGAUGUCCUCGUACUGACGCGAUUCAAAGGGGUCGGUGUGAACUGGGUAAGUUGAAGUAAAAGUAAUUUUGAGUGGGCAUGCCAGUAAUUAGGACUACUAAAAGGUCCAAUUGCAUCUAAGGCGGCGUACUUGGUACGGGUUUUGAACAUUGUUAGAACAAGGUGUUGCUGCUGCGUCUCAUGCCAUGCAGCAAAAGCCAGAAGUUGUAAUUGUCGCACCCACUCGUGAAUUGGCCAUUCAAAUUCACCGCGAGGCAUGUAAAUUCUCCUACAGUUCGGUUUUAAAGUCUGUGAUUAUAUGUGGAGAAAUUGUCACGAGCCAUCAUCGGUCAAAUCUUCAAGCUGGGUGUAAUAUUGUUGUCGCGACCGCGGUGCGAUUCAAGGAUUUUCUCGACCGUGGAAUAUUUGUCUUCUCGGGAGUCAGGUUUUAAAUUUUGGACGAAGCUGAUCUAAAUCAUUUGGGCAUUAAGCAUACCUGAUUUUGAACAACACCAGAAGAAGACGAUCAGGAAACUCAAGUAAUACCCAAAGCGCUGCUAGCAAUGGCAAAACGAUAUAUUGCUUAGAUCAAAUGAAAGAUGAUUGCUCAAGUACGCAGUGACAGGAAACGGCUCGGUUUACCUUGAGCUAUGACAAAGAUAAGAUUGUAAGGUUGGUAUACUCCGACGUACGGUACUGGCAUGAAGUGCAUAAGGAACAGUAACCUAUGCAAACCAACUUGAGCUACGCGCGUUAAGUUCCCGAGAUGGCAUUCCUUAAUAAAUCGCCAGUAUGUUCCGGUAUCUGACUGUUUUGGACCGUCAGAUUCUCUAAUUAGUUGGCAUCUACUAAAUAUGUUGGCGCUAUCAAAUACCGGGGCGAAUGGCGGUUUCGUAUUGAACAGCGGCUAUAGAACUUGCCAUGCCGAGAUCAAGUUUUGUGCAAAUUGUAACCAGUUUAAACGGGGGCACCAAACAGUAACAUCUGUCGG